ensembl:lncRNA
AUUUUACGAAAAAGUAACUAAAUCAUGUGACAUAUCUACUUUUUUUUUUUUUUACGACUUUAUGAGUAGAAAUUAUAACAAAUUUAUAGAAUCAUUUGUUUUAUUCUUUUUGUUAGAAAAAAUAUGAUCACGUUUAAGUACUUAAAUGUAAAAAAAAAAAAAAAAAAAAAAAAAAAAGGCACUAAUAGUGAAUAUAGUAUAGUACUGUAUAAUUCGUAUAUAAAAAAACGUGUAUAUAUAUGUAUGUAUAAAUGGAAAAAAUAUGCGCUUGUAAAUGUUUUUACAUAAAUAAAUAAUGUUACAUACUUAUGUAUAUGCAUAUACUUAUACAUACAAUAGUCAUAUAAUAAAAAAAAAAAAGCAAAAGAUAACAAACGAACGAAUAAAUAAAUAAAUAAAUAAAGUUAAUGAUUAGAAAAUAUUAAUCCAAAAAACAAAUAUGACAAAUAAAUCUAAUAGCAUAUCAGAUAAUAAAUAUGAAAAUUCAAAACACUGUAAUAAUGAUGAUAAAGAUGAUGAAAAAAGGAAAGUAAAAGUUACUGAGUAUUCAAAGGAAAAAAAAAGAAAAUCAACAAAAGAAAUGAAUAUAUCUCAUAAUCACAAAAAAAAAAGAGACUUAAAAAUAAAGAAAGACAACAAAUAUAUCAGCUAUAAAAGAAAUAGCAAAAACAGUAAUGAAGAGAGUAAUAAAAGAUGUAACACAAACAACGAAAUAAUAAAGACUGAUGCUUUUCAUACUCACAAUGAUAACAAGCACAAACUGGUGAAAAAAUCACGAGACAUAAAUUAUUUAAAUUAUAAACAAAAAAAAAAAAAAAAAAUGAAAAAGAGUACAUCAUAUGAUGAAUAUAAUAAAAAAAAUAAAGAAAAAGGAUAUGCAAAUAUUAAGUCUAAAAAUGAGAAUUAUGAAGACACAUAUGUGAAGGAUAGAAAAAAAAAAGGUUACAAUAUUAAGUAUAAGAAAAAGGCUGCUUCACACUAUGUUUCGACCGAUUAUUCCAAAGAGCGUAGUAGUAGUAGUAGUAAGGGCCGCGUAAGUGUAAGUAGUAGUAGUAGUAGUAGUAAGGGCCGCGUAAGUAUAAGUAGUAGUAGUAGUAAUAGUAGUAAGGGCCGCGUAAGUGUAAGUAGUAGUAGUAGUAGCUCCAGUGUAAGUAAUAGUGCUAGUGUAAGUAGUAGUGGUGGUGAUAGUCCAUCGAGCGAAAGCGACACAAGCAGCCAACAUUCACCCAAUAAUAACAAAAUCAACAAUAAAGAAACGAAAAAAGAUAAAAAAAAAGUAAAAAAAAAAAAAGAAUCAGAAGAAACUCAAGAAUUUGAUGUUCACAUUUAUGAUAAUAAAGAAAUGAUUAGGUUGACUAUAAACAUUCUACAACAUUAUAACUUUUUAAACAAUUUAAAAAUAUUAUAUCAAAAACUAGAUAAUAACAAAAAAAUAUCACUUGAAAGUAUAAAAGAUUUAAAAUUAAAAAAAAAAUUGAGGCAUUUAUUUAGAGCUUGGAAGUUAGAAAGAAAAAACUCUUUUUAUAAAAAACCGUUAAAUUUUAAAGAAAGCAUUUGUGAAAUUUUUAAUGAUUUAAUGUAUUAUUUUUUAUCUAAAAUUGAUAUUAAGAAAUUAAAGUAUCAUAUCGAAAAAAGAAAAGCUAACUUAUUAAAAAAAGAAAAUUAUGAUGAUACUACUCAUAGUAAUGAUACGCAUAUAGAUAAUAAGAGUAGUCGUAUACAUAAUUCUGUUAAUAACUCUUUCAAUAGGUUGCAAACUGAACACGCAUAUGAUACAAAUUCCGAACAAAAUAAAAAUGAAGGAAUUAAAAGUCUACGAGAAUUACAUGAACAGGGAUAUUAUAAAAAUAAUCAAACGGAGUAUAAAGACUUUUUGGAAAAACAUAAAAAAAUUGAUUUAUGGGGAAAAAAUGAACAAGAACAAAAAUUUUUAAUGAAUUCUAAAAAUUUACCAAGUGAAAGAAAAACAUUUGAUAGAGAUACCGAUCUAUCUAUAAAUACUUUCGUAAACAAAAAUGAUUACAAAAAAUUGAUUAAAAAAACAAAAGAUCAUGUUGAUGAUAAAUUUCAUAAAACCGCCGAUAAAGUUUAAAAAUCCAAACCUUUAUAAAUACUUUAUCAAAAUUAUAUAUUAUUAAAUAUUUGACAAACAUUUUGAUACUUCUUUUUGUGUACACAUAACAUAUGUGUCAUAUAUACUGUUUAUUUUAUUUUAUUUUAUUGUUUUUUUUUUUUUUUUUUUUAUAUUUAAAAUAUGGUAACUAAGCAUUUCUUGUUGUAUAUAUAUAUGUAUGUAUGUAUGUAUGUUAACAUUUUUCUAGACAUAUACAUAACUCAAAUAAUACCGAAAUAUAAAUAGCAUCUUUAUUUUUUC